UCAGGAUGAACGCUGGCGGCGUGCCUAACACAUCAAGUCGAACGGACGCGUCCCUUCGGGGGACAAGUUAGUGGCGGACGGGUGAGUAAUGCAUGAGCAACCUGCCUCGAAGAGGGGAAUAACACAGAGAAAUUUGUGCUAAUACCGCAUAAUGUAUCCGGGAGGCAUCUUCCGGAUAAGAAAGGAGCAAUCCGCUUUGAGAUGGGCUCAUGUCUGAUUAGACAGUUGGCGGGGUAACGGCCCACCAAAUCUACGAUCAGUAGCCGGACUGAGAGGUUGAACGGCCACAUUGGGACUGAGACACGGCCCAGACUCCUACGGGAGGCAGCAGUGGGGAAUAUUGGACAAUGGGCGAAAGCCUGAUCCAGCCGACGCCGCGUGAAGGAAGAAGGUCUUCGGAUUGUAAACUUUAGUGAGCAGGGACGAUAAUGACGGUACCUGCAUAGCAAGCCACGGCUAACUACGUGCCAGCCGCAGC
rnacentral:rRNA from 1 species